rnacentral:rRNA from 1 species
CCUACGGGUGGCUGCAGUAGGGAAUAUUGGACAAUGGGUGCAAGCCUGAUCCAGCCAUGCCGCGUGCAGGAAGAAGGCCUUCUGGGUCGUAAACUGCUUUUGCCGGGGGAUAAAAUAGCUAUGCGUAGCGAAUUGAAGGUACCUGGUGAAUAAGCCACGGCUAACUACGUGCCAGCAGCCGCGGUAAUACGUAGGUGGCAAGCGUUGUCCGGAUUUAAAGGGUUUAAAGGGUGUGAAAGCGGUCAGAUGAGAAAUACGGCAGCUUAACUGUCGAGGUGCCAUUGAUACUGCUUGACUUGAGUACUGAUGAGGUAGGCGGAAUGGACGGUGUAGCGGUGAAAUGCUUAGAGAUCGUCCAGAACACCGAUAGCGAAGGCAGCUUACUAAGGAGUAACUGACGCUGAGGCACGAAAGUGUGGGGAUCAAACAGGAUUAGAUACCCCAGUAGUC